CAUAAAUCUGUUGAAAACAUAAAGGUGAGAUUUUUUUUUCUUUUUUGGGGAGAGCUACAAACAUUACAUGUGGGAACUUCCACCCCGAAAGAAUCUCAUUGUAGACCUGGUGUUUAAUUUGAACUCUUCUGUCUCCGUCUGCCUUUGCGGAAUAAAUACUUCUUGUGGUUUUUUCAUGUGGUUUUCAUGGAACUAAUCCAACUGCAUUUCUAGAAUAUGUUGGCUUCUCUCAUGUUAUGCCACACAGUGGGUGAUGCCCAGCACAACACGGGAAAGGCCAAUCAGGUGUUCCCGAGAGCUUUGGGUGAAUAAGAGGGGGGUUUCUUUGCCUCUGUGUCUUAUUAACAAAAACCACUCCCCGUCCACCUUCUGUUUACUUUCGGUUCCUGCCCUGAACAUCACUGUCCAGGCAGGAGUGCACGUGCAGGGGACCCACACCUGCAGUGGUACCAAGAGUCUGGUCUUCGUUCUCACUACUGCCCCUGUGGUUCACUCACGUAGCCACGGAGUCAUCCUUCAAAGUGUAUGGAGAGGAUGCUACUCCUGCUUAAGACUCUCGAGUCAUCUUGUCCUGUGCUUCGGAUAAAUUCCAGGCCCUCACGUGGCCCACAAGCCCUGCACCUCUGUAAUCUCUACACUCAACACGGGGCUCAAACUCAUGACCCUGACCGGGGUCAGGCAUCACCUGCCCCACCGACAGUACACCAGGAGCUCCUCUGCGGGCUGUGAUCCCAAAGAGAGGGGCAUUUAUGCACUCAUUCGGAGAGACCUGCUUUCAGGAGAGAUUUCUGAGGUAAUCCUGAUGUAGUUGUUCUCGGCUAUGCUGAACUUGUGGAAGAGCACCCACUCUGGCAGCCUCUUGGUGACGGAGUAGCCGGAUAGCGGGUGCAGCUGAGCGACCUGCUUGUGCGUCAGCAUCAAGUAGUUACCCGACCCGUCCACGUCCCGUGCGAUCUACCAGGCAGCGUUGGGGAAAAAAGAUUUGUGUUAAGAUGGAGGUAAUGGACAAAAAUGUUUUCUUUAAAAAAACUCCACAAAGUGUUUUGUUCAAAAUCGUGAAAAUUACAUAUCUGCCACGUAUGUUUCCUAUUUUCAGACCUAAAAAAUAAGCCCCAAACAGGUUUUGCCCAGAACUUUGAGACAGUGACGACAUUCCUAACAUCAGCAGUUUCAGGCAGUGUGUGAAGAGCGCGGCUGCAAAGGCGACGUUUGGGCCGUGAACGCUGGCGUGGUACCUGCCACGUUCUGGGCCGCAUGUUUUAGCUCAGUCAGUACAGUAACACUGAUGGAGGAACCUUACUUUUUCUGUACAUGAUGAGGAAACUCAUGUUAAAAUGUCAUUUUUUUCUCUGUUAAGACCACUUUAGAGUUUGCGAGGGAAUACCACAGCUUCUCUGACCGCGACGUGAAGAACAUGGCCGCCUCGGUGGUGUGCUUCAGUUGAGGCGGCUGCGUUAGGAGGCAGCCUUCAUUCGGGGGAUGAAACAAAUGAGACACUGCCUUUAGUUCUUGGCUGAGAGUUAGUGUCACCGGUUAAAUGUGAGCUAAUUCACAGAGCAGCGAGACGAGGGACUGACCUGAAGCUCGGCCACAGCGCAUGUUUUCCUAGCGUCCCUGCUGCAGUGAGAACAGGCCGCCUGUCCUUUUGGACAAAGUGAACAUACUCUGGCUUAGCCCUUCAAUUCCCUUGAGGGGAAGUAUAUUUAAAUACUAAAUCUUUAGUAACA